AUUGAACGCUGGCGGCAGGCCUAACACAUGCAAGUCGAACGAGUGGCGGACGGGUGAGUAAUGUAUGGGGAACUGCCCGAUAGAGGGGGAUAACUACUGGAAACGGUGGCUAAUACCGCAUACUAUCAGAUGAGCCCAGAUGGGAUUAGCUAGUUGGUGGGGUAAAGGCUCACCUAGGCGACGAUCCCUAGCUGGUCUGAGAGGAUGACCAGCCACACUGGAACUGAGACACGGCCCAGACUCCUACGGGAGGCAGCAGUGGGGAAUAUUGCACAAUGGGCGCAAGCCUGAUGCAGCCAUGCCGCGUGUAUGAAGAAGGCCUUAGGGUUGUAAAGUACUUUCAGCGGGGAGGCGUUACCCGCAGAAGAAGCACCGGCUAACUCCGUGCCAGCAGCCGCGGUAAUAC
rnacentral:rRNA from 1 species